GACAGAGGGUGCAAGCGUUGUUCGGAAUCAUUGGGCGUAAAGCGCACGUAGGCGGCGCUGCAAGUCGGAUGUGAAAGCCCUGGGCUCAACCCAGGAAGCGCAUCCGAAACUGCAGUGCUUGAGUCCCGGAGAGGGUGGUGGAAUUCCUGGUGUAGAGGUGAAAUUCGUAGAUAUCAGGAGGAACACCGGUGGCGAAGGCGACCACCUGGACGGAGACUGACGCUGAGGUGCGAAAGCGUGGGGAGCAAACAGG
rnacentral:misc_RNA from 1 species